GACGAACGCUGGCGGCGUGCUUAACACAUGCAAGUCGAACGGAAAGACCCUGCUUUUGUGGGGUGCUCGAGUGGCGAACGGGUGUGUAACACGUGAGUAACCUGCCCUUGACUUUGGGAUAACUUCAGGAAACUGGGGCUAAUACCGGAUAGGAGCUCCUGCUGCAUGGUGGGGGUUGGACAGUUUCGGCGGUUGGGGAUGGACUCGCGGCUUAUCAGCUGGUUGGGGGGGUAGUGGCUUACGACGGCUUUGACGGGUAGCCGGCAUGAGAGCGUGACCAGCGACAUGGGUACUGCGAUACGGCGCAGACUCCUAUGUUAGGCAGAAGUGGGGAAUAUUGCACAAUGGGCCGAAGCCUGAUGCGGCGGCGCCGCGUGCGUGAUGACGGCUUUCGGGUUGGAAACCGCUGUCGCCUGUGACGAAGCGUUAGUGACGGUAAUGGGUAAAGAAGCACCGGCUAACUACGUG
rnacentral:rRNA from 1 species